rnacentral:rRNA from 1 species
UACGUAGGGUGCGAGCGUUAAUCGGAAUUACUGGGCGUAAAGUGUGCGCAGGUGGCCGCGCAAGUCGAGUGUGAAAUCCCCGAGCUUAACUUGGGAAUUGCGCUCGAAACUACGUGGCUCGAGUGUGGCAGAGGAAGGUCGGAAUUCCACGUGUAGCGGUAGAAAUGCGCAGAUAUCAGGAAGAACACCCGUGGCGAAGGCGGUUCUCUGGGACGGUACUGACGCUGAGACGCGAAAGCGUGGGGAGCGAACAGG